UCAGGGAAGGCUCCUGUGAGGCUUGGGUAGUAAAAAGCAGGGCUCUCUCAACUUCCUUUUGAUGUUUUGCUGUUUUGAUAUCAAAGAACCCAACCAACCGUUUCUGCUUGCCGCAGCUCGCCUAGUCUGCAGGGUGGGGUG